GACGAACGCUGGCGGCGUGCUUAACACAUGCAAGUCGAACGGAAAGGCCCCUUCGGGGGUACUCGAGUGGCGAACGGGUGAGUAACACGUGAGUAACCUGCCCUUGACUUCGGGAUAACUUCAGGAAACUGGGGCUAAUACCGGAUAGGAAUCCUUGCUGCAUGGUGGGGGUUGGAAAGCUUCGGCGGUUUUGGAUGGACUCGCGGCUUAUCAGCUUGUUGGUGGGGUAGUGGCUUACCAAGGCUUUGACGGGUAGCCGGCCUGAGAGGGCGACCGGCCACAUUGGGACUGAGAUACGGCACAGACUCCUACGGGAGGCAGCAGUGGGGAAUAUUGCACAAUGGGCGGAAGCCUGAUGCAGCAACGCCGCGUGCGGGAUGACGGCCUUCGGGUUGUAAACCGCUUUCAGCAGGGGCGAAGCUUGUGGUGACGGUACCUGCAGAAGAAGCACCGGCUAACUACGUG
rnacentral:rRNA from 1 species